AGUGGCGGACGGGUGAGUAACGCGUGGGUAACCUACCUCAUACAGGGGGAUAACAGUUGGAAACGGCUGCUAAUACCGCAUAAGCGCACAGUACCGCAUGGUACCGUGUGAAAAACUCCGGUGGUAUGAGAUGGACCCGCGUCUGAUUAGCUAGUUGGUGGGGUAACGGCCUACCAAGGCGACGAUCAGUAGCCGACCUGAGAGGGUGACCGGCCACAUUGGGACUGAGACACGGCCCAA
rnacentral:rRNA from 1 species